rnacentral:piRNA from 1 species
UCUUGGAUGGGGCAGAGGUUACUGUCUCC